GAUGAACGCUGGCGGCGCGCCUAACACAUGCAAGUCGAACGAUUAAAGCACCUUCGGGUGUGUAUAAAGUGGCGAACGGCUGAGUAACACGUGGGCAACCUGCCCCUUUCAUUGGGAUAGCCACGGGAAACCGUGGAUAAUACCGAAUACUUCGAGACUUCCGCAUGGGAGACUCGAGAAAGCUCCGGCGGAGAGGGAUGGGCCCGCGGCCUGUUAGCUUGUUGGUGGGGUAACGGCCUACCAAGGCAAUGAUGGGUAGCUGGGUUGAGAGACCGACCAGCCAGAUUGGGACUGAGACACGGCCCAGACUCCUACGGGAGGCAGCAGUGGGGAAUCUUGCACAAUGGGCGAAAGCCUGAUGCAGCGACGCCGCGUGCGGGAUGAAGGCCUUCGGGUUGUAAACCGCUUUCAGCAGGGACGAGGCGAAAGUGACGGUACCUGCAGAAGAAGCCCCGGCUAACUACGUG
rnacentral:rRNA from 1 species